rnacentral:misc_RNA from 1 species
UUUUGUAUUCAACUAUGUAACUUUAGAAGGUCAUUUUAACAGUUGUAACACUACUGAAAGUGCAGAAGAAAAUUUGACCAAGCAAAAUAAAAAUAUAAAGAUUGUCACUAGCAAAAGCAAACAAGAGAAUCAAUCCACAUUCUUUUCCCCUAGAGACAUUCUUACUGAAGUUUAAAGAAAGCAAUGAGAGGCUCAUAUACGUCUUGCUUAGCAUUUUCUCCCAUAACAUAAUCUGCAUGAGCAUAGUCAGCUCUGUAUUGAAUUACAAGCUUAUCUCCAUCAUGAUCCUUCAGGCUAUCGAGCAAGAGUUGUACGUCGUUAACAUCAGACAGUGCAUCUGCCCCUCCAUUGCUGAGGAAGAGAGGAAGGUGUUUGGGAAUAUUUGUCAUCUUGUACACUGGAGGAGUUGGCUGCCCAUAGUGUUUCCUGUUCUCAUCCUUAUUAUUGUAAUUGAACAUUGUUAUUGUUCCUUCUCUAAUCAUCUGAGACAGAUGCAUCAUGUUCUUUGUAGAUGAUGACUGAGGCUCAUGGUCUAGAAAGACAUCUACAAUGGAGGAAUUCAGGCAACAAUUCUGGCCUGUGAAAGAAGUCAACAAGUUGGUGCAAUCAAUACCUGUUCUUUUACAUAUGUCCUUGAGAAAUUUGAUUACGGAUUCCC